rnacentral:lncRNA from 1 species
ACACAGGCGGUGGUGCCAGCCUUACAGCUAAAGAGACUUCCAGAACAUCCUGGGGCUAACCUGAGGGAGGGCCGCUGGAGAAGAGUGGCUAGGACGCGAACCUGUGGUAUCUUCAGAGGAAGUGAGCGUUUCCUCUGUGCAAACAGCACCCAUGAAAUCUCCCUGCUGUUACACGUUGUAAAUGGGUUUGUGUUCAGAACCAUUGGGGCUGCUUGGGGUCUGGUGUUGAGAAGAAUCAUAACCCUGAUACUAAAGAGAGCAGCAGGCACUGGGAAACAGAAUCCAACAUCAAGUUCAUUCCAGUCUCUGGCCCCAGAAAGCACGCUGGGGAAACUCUGCUUUAGCGUGACGAGCACUGACCAGAUGGUUAGUUAUGGAGACGUCCAUAAUUGGAACCCAAAGCCUGCAUUCCAAGCCAGUGUGCUGGAGACUACUGGAGACCACACCAGGCCCUUGGCUACCUUCUCUGUGGCCUCCAAAAGAGCAGCAAUCACAGCAGCACCAAAUUUAAGGACCAUGUGAAACUCCAAAUUAACCCUUCAGGAGCUCACCUGGCCGUAGAAGUCUUUGGCCUUCCCAAUCCAAACCCGUCUUACAGCAUUUGCUGAAUUGCUGCACUUCAACCUCAUUCAGCACAGACACGCAACACGCUCCUUCCAUGGCUGCUGUGGCUGAUGCUUUUCCUGAUGUUUGCUGUGGCCAAACGUUCAAGCCCCAGCACUCAUGUGCAGUUCUGUUUUAAUCAGCAGAAUCACUUAACAUCUGAGAAGUUCAGGCACAUUUCUUGUCAAUCAUGCGCUGGCCUCUGUCAGUCUUUGACCUCGCUUCUUUUAGAUUCCAUCUGCCUCUCCUCCUUCGAAACAUGAUGUGACUUAUUUCCAGAAUGGUUUUUUAGAAACUGAGAUUAUGGGAUAAUGAACUGAGCCAGUCUCCGUCAUAGAAAGGGUUUCUUCACCUUCCCCAGUGACUGACCAAAGCUGUGUUGCUAUUCAACAGAUAGCGACAUGUUCAUAGCGCAUAGCAUCAAAACAGCGCACCACUGUGCAGAUACUGACACGUCUAUGCAAUCAAGAACAGUGUGCCAGUGGGCGCUCCGAGUCCCAAGGAGGCACUUCCACUGAUAUCUUGGCCACGACGUGCAAGAGCAACAAGUCAUUAGAUUUGAUUUUCAGAGUUGUUCUACAAGGAACGUAGGCUUCACGUCAUACACGCUCCU